CCUACGGGUGGCCGCAGUGAGGAAUAUUGGUCAAUGGGCGUAAGGCUGAACCAGCCAAGUCGCGUGAAGGAAGGAGGCCCUACGGUUUGUAAACUUCUUUUAUAGGGGAAUAAAGGUAGACACGUGUGCCUGUUUGCGUGUACCCUAUGAAUAAGCAUCGGCUAACUCCGUGCCAGCAGCCGCGGUAAUACGGAGGAUGCGAGGGUUAUCCGGAUUUAUUGGGUUUAAAGGGUGCGUAGGUGGUUUGUUAAGUCAGCUGUGAAAGUUUGUGGCUCAACCAUAAAAUUGCAGUUGAAACUGGAAGACUUGAGUGUGGGUGAGGUAGGCGGAAUGCGUGGUGUAGCGGUGAAAUGCAUAGAUAUCACGAAGAACUCCGAUUGCGAAGGCAGAUUACUAAGCCAUAACUGACACUGAAGCACGAAAGCGUGGGGAUCAAACAGGAUUAGAUACCCCAGUAGUC
rnacentral:rRNA from 1 species